GGGCUCUUGGCACAGUUGGUAGCGCGCACGCUUCGCAUUACGUAAUGCAAAUUGCGUGAGGUCGUGGGUUCAAUUCCCACAGUGUCCA